AGCUUUGUGCAGUGGCAGUAUCAAAGCCCAUGAGGGUUUAACUGAGGCGUGAUUACUCCGAAUUGAAAACUGUUUCCAAUACCCAGCCGUGAUGACUUGAAAAGUAGCCAGCAUUGGCAUUUUUUGAUGGUUUCUUGUGAGA